rnacentral:rRNA from 1 species
GAUGAACGCUGGCGGCGUGCCUAAUACAUGCAAGUCGAGCGAACAGACGAGGAGCUUGCUCCUCUGAUGUUAGCGGCGGACGGGUGAGUAACACGUGGAUAACCUACCUAUAAGACUGGGAUAACUUCGGGAAACCGGAGCUAAUACCGGAUAACAUUUUGAACCGCAUGGUUCAACAGUGAAAGACGGUCUUGCUGUCACUUAUAGAUGGAUCCGCGCCGCAUUAGCUAGUUGGUAAGGUAACGGCUUACCAAGGCAACGAUGCAUAGCCGACCUGAGAGGGUGAUCGGCCACACUGGAACUGAGACACGGUCCAGACUCCUACGGGAGGCAGCAGUAGGGAAUCUUCCGCAAUGGGCGAAAGCCUGACGGAGCAACGCCGCGUGAGUGAUGAAGGUCUUCGGAUCGUAAAACUCUGUUAUUAGGGAAGAACAAAUGUGUAAGUAACUAUGCACGUCUUGACGGUACCUAAUCAGAAAGCCACGGCUAACUACGUG